CCUACGGGAGGCAGCAGUGAGGAAUAUUUGUCAAUGGGCGCGAGCCUGAACCAGCCAAGUCGCUUGAAGGAUGACUGCCCUAUGGGUUGUAAACUUCUUUUAUCAAGGAAUAAAGUUAUGCACGUGUGCCUUUUUGUAUUUCCUUUAUGAAUAAGAAUCGGCUAACUCCGUGCCAGCAGCCGCGGUAAUACGGAGGAUCCGAGCGUUAUCCGGAUUUAUUGGGUUUAAAGGGUGCGUAGGUGGGUUGUUAAGUCAGUUGUGAAAGUUUGUGGCUCAACCCUAAAAUUGCAAUUGAGACUGGCAGUCGUGAGUGCGUUUGAGGUAGGCGGAAUGCGUGGUGUAGCGGUGAAAUGCAUAGAUAUCACGAAGAACUCCGAUUGCGAAGGCAGCUUACUAAGCUGCAACUGACAUUGAGGCACGAAAGUGUGGGGAUCAAACAGGAUUAGAUACCCUUGUAGUC
rnacentral:rRNA from 1 species